rnacentral:rRNA from 1 species
GACGAACGCUGGCGGCGUGCUUAACACAUGCAAGUCGAACGGAAAGGCCCUGCUUUUGUGGGGUGCUCGAGUGGCGAAAGGGUGAGUAACACGUGAGUAACCUGCCCUUGACUUUGGGAUAACUUCAGGAAACUGGGGCUAAUACCGGAUAGGAGCUCCUGCUGCAUGGUGGGGGUUGGAAAGUUUCGGCGGUUGGGGAUGGACUCGCGGCUUAUCAGCUUGUUGGUGGGGUAGUGGCUUACCAAGGCUUUGACGGGUAGCCGGCCUGAGAGGGUGACCGGCCACAAUAGGACUGAGAUACGGCCCAGACUCCUACGGGAGGCAGCAGUGGGGAAUAUUACACAGUGGGCGGAAGCCUGAUGCAGCAACGCCGCGUGCGGUAUGACGGCCUUCGGGUUGUAAACCGCUUUCGCCUGUGACGAAGCGUGAGUGACGGUAAUGGGUAAAGAAGCACCGGCUAACUACGUG